AUCCCAUGAUAAGGACAGGCCGCCACGAACUCCUGCAGACGUUCCCAUGCUUCAGGAAUAGACUCAUCUCUUGCCUGCUGGAAACUUGAAAUCCUUCCAUGAAAGGC
rnacentral:snoRNA from 1 species